AGCGAACGCUGGCGGCAGGCCUAACACAUGCAAGUCGAACGAACCCUUCGGGGUUAGUGGCGGAUGGGUGAGUAACACGUGGGAACGUGCCUUUAGGUUCGGAAUAACUCAGGGAAACUUGUGCUAAUACCGAAUGUGCCCUUCGGGGGAAAGAUUUAUCGCCUUUAGAGCGGCCCGCGUCUGAUUAGCUAGUUGGUGAGGUAAUGGCUCACCAAGGCUACGAUCAGUAGCUGGUCUGAGAGGAUGACCAGCCACAUUGGGACUGAGACACGGCCCAAACUCCUACGGGAGGCAGCAGUGGGGAAUCUUGCGCAAUGGGCGAAAGCCUGACGCAGCCAUGCUGCGUGGAUGAUGAAGGUCUUAGGAUUGUAAAAUCCUUUCACCGGUGAAGAUAAUGACUGUAGCCGGAGAAGAAGCCCCGGCUAACUUCGUGCCAGCAGCCGCCGUAACAC
rnacentral:rRNA from 1 species